UACGAAGGGGGCUAGCGUUGCUCGGAAUUAUUGGGCGUAAAGAGCUCGUAGGUGGUUUGUCGCGUUGUUCGUGAAAACUCACAGCUUAACUGUGGGCGUGCGGGCGAUACGGGCAGACUAGAGUUCGGUAGGGGAGACUGGAAUUCCUGGUGUAGCGGUGAAAUGCGCAGAUAUCAGGAGGAACACCGGUGGCGAAGGCGGGUCUCUGGGCCGAAACUGACGCUGAGGAGCGAAAGCGUGGGGAGCAAACAGG
rnacentral:rRNA from 1 species